UUCAAGCACAUUGUAUACUUUGUAUGCUUCCCACGUUUGCAUGCUUGUUGGUGUUUUCUUUUCCCUCAUUCUGUCAAUAUUUGCUUUGGGGUAUAGGAGUUCAUAAUUACAACAACUUCAUUGAUAUUUUGGUUCAAGUGUCUAGGUUUGAUCGAACUCUAUUGUUUGGAAAUAGCUCUUUAGAAAGCAACAUUUGGCUUCUAAUCGUCUUGUAUGUUGCUCAGGCUGAGCUUGUAUUGUUUGAUUGAUAUUUAUAACUUUGAGGCAAGUAGUGUUGGUCCCUCCUGUUUCAUUUUAACUGAUUGGACUCUAUUUUUGCACAGUAUUUCUUUUGCUUUGGGGUUUUGGUUUUAUUAAUAAAAUUUACUUCUUAAGAAAAAUGUUAAUUGAUUGCUCUCUCUCUCUGUUUACUGUUAGGAUGGCCAUGCUACUGCCAAAUGUGGACAUGAGUUUGAGCAAAAUAACAAAAACCAUGAAGAAGAACAACAAAAAGUUAAUCUUCUUCUUCUCGCUCUUUUAUUAUAUUCUUUCUAUGCACAACUUCUUAAAUUGUGUCAAACCCUUAUUUUUAUUUGCUUUCAAAUUUAUACAGGAAAAAGAGUGAAAAAUGGACUAUCUUUGCGUACAUGUUUCAAGCUACCAAGAAUUUAAGAGUUUGGUUAAGCAGUAUGUGAAUAAGGGAGGUGCAUGUUUUUGACGAUGUGGAUGCACAAUCUUAAGAGUCUAUGUUGGAUGAUGUACUCAGUAACAAUUCAAUAUUGGGUCGACUUGACAAAGCUAAAAAUCCAAGAGAGGAUCACCGCCCACUUCCGAUCGUGCAUUGUUACACCGUAAAGGAGAUAGACAACGCUUACAAAGCUAUUGGCUGUUAUUGGAGGGUGUAACAGCCCGAUUUUUAGCUAGAUUUAUUUUAAUUACUUUUAUUAUGUG
rnacentral:lncRNA from 1 species